GCUCUCCCAAUCGGCACUCGACAGUCUCCCCGCCCCUUCUCUUCUCCAGUUCUCUGUAUGUAUAUAUAAUAUAUGUUCUAUUUUUUUUAAACCCAGUCCAAAACGACGUCGUAGUCGUACAAAAGUAACAGAAAACAUCACAAAUUCACGAAUGCAAAUUAUAAUUAGCCAAUUAGGGAUUUGGAGUUGAGAAAGGAAAUAGGAACAACAGUUGUACGACUCCAUCCGCUCCGCCACUUGCUGCAGUUGUUGCCUGUUGACGACGCCGUCCGCCGCCAGCCCGCCGCCUUCUUCCGCCACUGGACGUCGCCGUCGUCCACAAUACAUCACCACCACCAGCCAAUUAGCCAAGGUAAGUUAAGUUUCUGCAUUCUUGAUGACUUGCUCUGUUUUGGGUUUUACUUCAAGCCUUUAAGUAAUUGUGAUUUGUGGGGCAUUAAAAUUAAAAAUAACAAAUGGUAUAUUUAUGUUCUAUUUUAUAAGUUGUUCCGUAUAAAAUUGAAAUGUUUAGAUAUUUCGCACCAAAAAGGCCUAGAGGUCCCAAUGAAUCUUCUGGUAGUGUUGAACAACCACCACAAACUUCAAAUGCUAAUAUUUUGGAGUUUAACCCGAAUGCUAUAGUUGUCGAUCCUGGAUUACGCAAGCCUAUUCUUAGUNNNNNNNNNNNNNNNNNNNNNNNNNNNNNNNNNNNNNNNNNNNNNNNNNNNNNNNNNNNNNNNNNNNNNNNNNNNNNNNNNNNNNNNNNNNNNNNNNNNNCUUAAAACCUGAAAUUUUGUAAAGAAAAGGUAGCAAACGUUAGAACUAAAAAUCGUAUACAGUGCACAAGGCUCCUAUUAAUGGAAGGUCAUAUAUAUGCGCUGCUUAAUUAAUUACUUCUAAUUAUAAUUAAUUUGCGCAAACGUCCUAGAGUAAUAUUGGUUAAUUAUGUGUAGGAAGAGCUAGCCAAAAAGAAAAGGAUGGAACAUACAUUGACUUGAUCAUGAAGGAGCUUGAUGUACUCAAUAGCUUCGUGGAGAACUGAUGCUGUAUCAGUCUGUAUCAAAUUGAAUGCAUUAGAGAAGUUUUACAUUGAAAAGUAGAACGGAAAAAUUUAAACUUUAAAACUUUUUUAAAUAAAAAGAAAGAAAGAAAGGUUACCUUUCCAAAAGGCGAAACCAAUUGCUGGAGGGCAGUAAUUCGGUCCCCAAGCUUCUCUUUCCUUACCUGAUAAUUAUAAAGUUACAAGUUAUCAUCCAAUACUUUGAUUAAAUUUAAAUUUAUAUUUUUCAAAAGAAGAAAAAUUUAAACUCCAUUUUGUUCAAUGCAUGAUCAAUCGAUCUACCUACCUUAAAAGUUGGUAAUGGUGAUGGUGUUUCAAUUCGCGCUCUUUUAAAUGAUGGUUCACUGCUGCUGCUUUUCUUCUCCACUGAGCUCAAGUCUCGAACUCUUUCAUUAUUAGGCUGAAAUUGUUAUAGUAAAAUUCAGCAUUUAAACCCUAAACCCUAAUUACUAUAAAUAACUUAACCUGAAAAAAUAUAACAAGAAUUAAUCUUGAUAUUUACCUUUGUAGCGAGGUUGGGGAAAUUGGGCUUAUCUUCAAAUGUUGGUGAAAUAAAUUUAGAUUCCGGUGGAUUGAAAAUGCUAGCUCGCAUAUCAUUCAUAGCUGCAGCCGAAGAAUUCCAAGGGGGGGUGUUGUUUGAUAAUUGAAAAUGACUAAGAGGUUGUUCUUUUGGCAGUACUGAAGGUUUUAGCAAGGAUGAUAAUUUAGGCAAAGAAGAAGAAAAUUCAUUCAACUUUUUGCGACAAUUAUUUGUAGCAGACGACGGACAGGCCAUGGACAGGUUACCAAAUAUAGAAUCUUGACAUUGAAAAUUAGUAUCAAUUAGGGUUUGGAACAAGGAAGAAGGGUAACCAUAUGAGGAUGAAUUCACUGGAAAACAUUGAGGCUUCAAAACGGAAGAACCUUCAUCGAUAAUAGGAAAGUUUUUUGCACUCCAAUCUUUCUUGAUUUGGGAAUAAUUAACAAUGGAAUCUUGUUGAUAACUUAAGCUUGAAUUCAUGUCCUCUUGUAGAAUAGACUGAUAAUUGCAAUUGUUCCUUUUGCUACCAUCACUAAAUAAUGACAAGAAGAAAAUGGAUCAUUUCACCUUCCCUUUUUCCAUAAGAUUACAAAGAAAUAAGUCUCAAAACAUGUGCAACUUGUAUGUAUUGGCUGUAAAGUUUGGACCAUGAGUAAGUUUAUGAAGAAUUAAAGUUGAACAAUAAUCGAGAUCAAAAGAGAAAAACAAAAAAACUAAAAAAGUUUCUAUAUUUGUUACAUAAAAUAUACUACAUGUGACCUCAAAAUUGAAUUAUACUUACAAUAAAGUUUGAUUCCAAUCUGUUGUUAGUGAUGAAGAAAG
rnacentral:lncRNA from 1 species